GCCCGGUUAGCUCAGUUGGAAGAGCACAUUCUUGGUAAGAAUGGGGUCGGCGGUUCGACUCCGCCACCGGGCUCCA
rnacentral:tRNA from 1 species